AAGAGUAAAGACUCUCCAAUGCUAACUUUGGCAGACAGCAAAGAUUUGUAAGACCCCUGUGCAAGGAUGAUAUGGAAGUGUGUGAAUCAUCUUUUUUUUUU
ensembl:snRNA U6 U6 spliceosomal RNA